UGAGGAAUAUUGCACAAUGGAGGAAACUCUGAUGCAGCAACGCCGCGUGGAGGAUGACGCAUUUCGGUGUGUAAACUCCUUUUAAGAGGGAAGAUAAUGACGGUACCUCUUGAAUAAGCACCGGCUAACUCCGUGCCAGCAGCCGCGGUAAUAAUCUCUAGA
rnacentral:rRNA from 1 species